GACGUAGGAUCCGAGCGUUGUCCGGAGUUACUGGGCGUAAAGCGCGCGCAGGCGGAAUCUCGCAUCGGCGGUGAAAGCCCCCCGCUCAACGGGGGAGGGUCCGUCGAGAUGGAGAUUCUGGAGGCAGGGAGAGGCCAGUGGAAUUCCGGGUGUAGUGGUGAAAUGCGUAGAGAUCCGGAGGAACACCAGUGGCGAAGGCGGCUGGCUGGACCUGACCUGACGCUGAGGCGCGAAGGCGUGGGGAGCGAAC
rnacentral:rRNA from 1 species